CCUACGGGAGGCAGCAGUGGGGAAUAUUGCACAAUGGGGGGAACCCUGAUGCAGCGACGCCGCGUGGGUGAAGAAGCGCCUCGGCGCGUAAAGCCCUGUCAGCAGGGAAGAAAAUGACGGUACCUGAAGAAGAAGCCCCGGCUAACUACGUGCCAGCAGCCGCGGUAAUACGUAGGGGGCAAGCGUUAUCCGGAUUUACUGGGUGUAAAGGGGGCGCAGACGGCGAUGCAAGCCAGGAGUGAAAGCCCGGGGCUCAACCCCGGGACUGCUUUUGGAACUGGGUGGCUGGAGUGCAGGAGGGGCAGGCGGAAUUCGUGGUGUAGCGGUGAAAUGCGUAGAGAGCAGGAGGAACACCGGUGGCGAAGGCGGCCUGCUGGACUGCAACUGACGUUGAGGCUCGAAAGCGUGGGGAGCAAACAGGAUUAGAUACCCGGGUAGUC
rnacentral:rRNA from 1 species